UACGUAGGGUGCAAGCGUUGUCCGGAAUUAUUGGGCGUAAAGAGCUCGUAGGCGGUCUGUUGCGUCGGGCUGUGAAAACCCGAGGCUCAACCUCGGGCCUGCAGCCGAUACGGGCAGACUAGAGUUCGGCAGGGGAGACUGGAAUUCCUGGUGUAGCGGUGAAAUGCGCAGAUAUCAGGAGGAACAGCCGGUGGCGAAGGCGGAUCUCUGGGCCUUACCUGACGCUGGAGGGCGCGAAAGCGUGGGGAGCAAACAGG
rnacentral:rRNA from 1 species